AUUAAGCCAUGCGAGUUAAUGUUCUUCGUGAACAUAGCAGACUGCUCAGUAACACGUGGAUAACCUGCCCUUAGGACUGGCAUAACCCCGGGAAACUGGGGAUAAUGCCGGAUAGAUCAUAAAUGCUGGAAUGCUUUAUGAUUGAAAGGUUUCGACCGCCUUAGAAUGGAUCUGCGGCCUAUCAGGUUGUAGUGGGUGUAAUGUACCUACUAGCCCACGACGGGUACGGGUUGUGGAAGCAAGAGCCCGGAGAUGGAUUCUGAGACAUGAAUCCAGGCCCUACGGGGCGCAGCAGGCGCGAAAACUUUACAAUGCGGGAAACCGUGAUAAGGGAACACUGAGUGCUAGCAUUUAUGUUAGCUGUCCACAUGUGUAAAUAGCAUGUGAUAGCAAGGGCUGGGCAAGACCGGUGCCAGCCGCCGCGGUAACACCGGCAGCCCGAGUGGUGAUCACUAUUAUUGGGUCUAAAGGGUCCGUAGCCGGUUUAAUCAGUCUUCUGGGAAAUCUAAUCGCUUAACUAUUAGGCUUCCAGGGGAUACUGUUAGACUUGGGACCGGGAGAGGUACGAGGUACUGCAGGGGUAGGAGUGAAAUCUUGUAAUCCCUGUGAGACCACC
rnacentral:rRNA from 1 species